rnacentral:lncRNA from 1 species
GAGAUGGUCACAGCCCCACGGACAGCCUGCUUGCAGCCUUGUGAGGGACCUUGAGCCUGAGGACCCAGCUAAGCCACACCCAGCUUCUCAACCCAGAGAAACAGUGAGAUGAUAAACUGAGCUGGCUUUUAAGCCACUAAGUUUUGGGGUAAUUUGUGACACCGUAAUGGAUAAUUAGUACAGCCAGUAACAUAGGCAGAUAUGAGACAGUGCAAAAUAUUUUAGAUUUUAGUGGUUAUCCUUUGGGUUUUAGAGUUCUCCAGGUAGGUUCUCAACCUGGUACCCACAUGUAAUCCAUCUGAGCUUCUGGUUCUGAACCUUCCUGAUGCGUAAAAUCUAUGUAUCAUCUGAAGUUGGAUGAAAACCGAUGUUGCUUUAUUAACAUCGA